AAGAGGUGUGGGGGUGGCCUGUGCAUUUAGCAGAGAGGGGUUAAAAGUUCUUCCCUCCAGUGAUGCCAGUUUGCCAAACACUCCUCCCCACCAUCGCUGAAGAAUCAGGCAGCUGAGGUACAAUGUACUUACCUGAGUCUAAUGAUCUUCAAAUUUUGAUAGAAGAUUUUGCAAGCUGGUGAAUUUUUUGACAUGCUCACAGUGAAAAGGUUGUCUGGGUGUUUCAAAGGACGAAUUUACUUCAUCUAGUGCCAAGACCAGCUCAGCAGAGUGGCAACCAAAGGUGUCUCCAGAAGCUGCCACCUGUCACCCCAGUUGGGAACCACUACUCAAGCUACUCAGGCAUGUGAGCCUGCUAGUUCACAUGGAUGCAGCAGUGGAGACAAGGGGCCCAGGAGGUAGGAAGAUUGGAAAUUCACAGAAAUUAUGGAGAAGCAGGAACGUGUGGAAAUGGUGUGUCCUGAAGUAUGUGCCCCGCCGGUGAUUAUGAGCUCUUGUUCAGCAGCAGGUGCAGAAGUCCUGGGCCAGGAGGUGAUAGAUGCUGUGUUUGGGCACAUCACUCACCUGUUGGACCACCUCAGUGUCCCUGUAGUUGAGACAGAGUGACAUGGCACCUGAGCUUGGUUUAAGAUGACAGGUAGAAGCACCUGGAAAAGAAAGGGCUCCCAGAACCGCUGGAUUUAGUGAUGGAGGAACUUGGAGGGGUCUGCUUCCAUCCUCUUGGAUUCAUGGAUUUUUCACUCAUGGAUAACUAAGGGAUGGAGAAUUCAGAUUUCCAGAAGAAGCACAUUCAUUUAAGGCAACUUGAAUUCAGAGGAAAUAAUUGAAAUUGUCUGCAAUUUACGUUUUCAUCAUCUUUACCUUGUGAUUCUAAUUCUGCCAACUGGAUUCACACAGAAGAAGCUGAUGUCCUGCAUCUGAUGCCCUUUCAGUACUGGAGCAGCUGUCCUGGUAUUUGUUCUCCCAGGAAAGAGUCAAAUGUGGCCCACCUUCUUCAGUAGAAGAAUCCGUAUAUUUC